GGUUGUUAGCUCAGUCGGUAGAGCAGUGGGCUUUUAACCAAUUGUUCGCAGGUUCGAGCCGAGCGAAGCG
rnacentral:tRNA from 1 species